CGACCAUCCCCAUUUCUAUCAAACAUCUGGAAAACGCGUGCGAGCUCUACUGAGUCCAUUCUUUUUCUGACAACGGCAGCGGCGGAGGAGGAGGAGGAGGGGGGAAGUGUUUGUUGUUUAAAGAGGGAAUUGGCUUGGUGGGAGCACCAAGAAGAAGGAAGAAAGAAGGUCCUGAGCUUCUUGGGGAUCAAAUAGAGAAGGAAAGAAUUAAGAAGAUUGUAAAGAAGGAAAAUAGUUAGCAAAAUAGUUGGCAUUUAGAGGAGUGUGGAGAGAUUGGUGUGUUGGGUGAUGUUUGUUAUUUGUUGAGAAGAUUUUGGCUUGGUGGGAGCACCAAGAAGAAGG
rnacentral:misc_RNA from 1 species